rnacentral:rRNA from 1 species
AGGGUUUGAUCAUGGCUCAGGAUGAACGCUGGCGGCGUGCUUAACACAUGCAAGUCGAACGAACCUUCGGGUUAGUGGCGGACGGGUGAGUAACGCGUGAGAAUCUGCCCUCAGGAGGGGGAUAACGGUUGGAAACGACCGCUAAUACCCCAUAUGCCUAUUGGUGAAAUGAAUUUCGCCUGAGGAUGAGCUCGCGUCUGAUUAGCUAGUUGGUGAGGUAAUGGCUCACCAAGGCUUCGAUCAGUAGCUGGUCUGAGAGGAUGAUCAGCCACACUGGGACUGAGACACGGCCCAGACUCCUACGGGAGGCAGCAGUGGGGAAUUUUCCGCAAUGGGCGAAAGCCUGACGGAGCAACGCCGCGUGAGGGACGAAGGCCUCUGGGCUGUAAACCUCUUUUCUCAAGGAAGAAGAUAUGACGGUACUUGAGGAAUAAGCCACGGCUAAUUCCGUGCCAGCAGCCGCGGUAAUACGGGAGUGGCAAGCGUUAUCCGGAAUUAUUGGGCGUAAAGCGUCCGCAGGCGGCUUUUCAAGUCUGCUGUUAAAGCGUGGAGCUUAACUCCAUCAUGGCAGUGGAAACUGAAAGGCUUGAGUAUGGUAGGGGCAGAGGGAAUUCCCGGUGUAGCGGUGAAAUGCGUAGAUAUCGGGAAGAACACCAGUGGCGAAGGCGCUCUGCUGGGCCAUUACUGACGCUCAUGGACGAAAGCCAGGGGAGCGAAAGGGAUUAGAUACCCCUGUAGUCCUGGCAGUAAACGAUGAACACUAGGUGUCGGGGGAAUCGACCCCUUCGGUGUCGUAGCUAACGCGUUAAGUGUUCCGCCUGGGGAGUACGCACGCAAGUGUGAAACUCAAAGGAAUUGACGGGGGCCCGCACAAGCGGUGGAGUAUGUGGUUUAAUUCGAUGCAACGCGAAGAACCUUACCAGGGUUUGACAUCCUGCGAACCUCUUAGAAAUUUGAGGGUGCCUUCGGGAAUGCAGUGACAGGUGGUGCAUGGCUGUCGUCAGCUCGUGUCGUGAGAUGUUGGGUUAAGUCCCGCAACGAGCGCAACCCACGUUUUUAGUUGCCAGCAUUUAGUUGGGCACUCUAGAAAGACCGCCGGUGAUAAACCGGAGGAAGGUGUGGAUGACGUCAAGUCAUCAUGCCCCUUACACCCUGGGCUACACACGUACUACAAUGCUACGGACAAAGGGCAGCAAACUCGCGAGAGCUAGCAAAUCCCAUAAACCGUGGCUCAGUUCAGAUCGUAGGCUGCAACUCGCCUACGUGAAGUAGGAAUCGCUAGUAAUCGCAGGUCAGCAUACUGCGGUGAAUACGUUCCCGGGCCUUGUACACACCGCCCGUCACACCAUGGAAGUUGGCCAUGCCCGAAGUCGUUACUCCAACCCUUGUGGAGGAGGACGCCGAAGGUGGGGCUAAUGACUGGGGUGAAGUCAUAACAAGGUAGCCGUA